GGCCUAGCGCCCGCCGCGAUCGCGCCGUAGAACCCCGGGGCCGGCGCUCUCCCGUCUUCCGUCCCCCUCGCACUCUGACGGCCAGCGUCGCCUCGCUUCCUCCGCCGCCGCCCGCCAUGGCCUCCGCCGCCCGGAGGGCGCGGGCUCGGGGCGCAGGCGCCCGCCGCCGCGUUGGGCACUGCCCGGCCUGUUGCUGCUGUGCUUGUGGCUGCCCGGUGGUCGCGCGGCCGGCUCGCCCUCCGCGCCGCUGUCCGAGCUGCAUGCGCAGCUCUCGGGGGUGGAGCAGCUGCUGGAGGAGUUCCGCCGACAGCUGCAGCAGGAAAGGCCGCAGGAGGAGCUGGAACUCGAGCUGCGCGCGGGCGGCGACCCCCAGGAAGGCUGCCCGGGCCCCGGGGGCGGCGGCUACAGGGCCAGGCCCGACGCCAUCAUCCGCACCAAGGACUCGAUCGCGGCCGGCGCCAGCUUCUUGAGCGCGCCGGCGGCCGUGAGGGACUGGCGGCAGUGCCUGCAGGCUUGCUGCCUCGAGCCACACUGCCCCUUGGCCGUGGUGGAGCUGCCCCGGCGGUCCGCGCCCCCAGCUGCCGCGCUGGGCUGCUACCUCUUCAACUGCACCUGGCGCGGCCGCAGCGUCUGCAAGUUUGCGCUGCACCGAGGUUACAGCAGCUACAGCCUCAGCCGCGCCCCAGAGAGCGAGCAGGAAGGCCUGGAAGCCGGUGCCCCCGCCCUCGCCCGGGCCUCACCUCGCCUGGAAAAGGACGAGUCUCCACUCAGCAAGGCUGGGCAGGAUGUGGUUUUGCAUCUGCCCACAGAUGGCGUGAUUCUGGACGCCCAAGAAAGCACAGAUGACCACGCCAUCGUCCAGUAUGAGUGGACACUGCUGCAAGGUGACCCGACAGUGGACAUGAAGACACUCAUUCUCUUUCCUAUAAUGUCACCAUUGAUCCUCGGCCCAGAGAUGAUCAGCCAUGGUGUGAAGUUCGAGGAGAAGUUGAUCAAAAUGUCUUUCUCUCCUAUGACUGUGGUAGAGCUAAGAUCAAGUAUAUGAGUCCACUGGGAGAGGAAGUGAAAAGUAUGAGCACCUGGGAUAUGCAGACUGUCACACUCAGAGACACUGCAGACUUGCUCAAGGAGCAAAUGCCUGACGUUACACCAGAAAAACAGAUAGACAAGGGUGAGUUAGAAAAUCCAAAUGCAGGAGGAAUAGACUGGGGGCUUAGCUGUAUUCACUGUUUUCAGGUUAAAAGAAAAAAAUUGAAUAUUGUCCUUCCCUAGUAGUCCAAUGGAAAGAGCAGCUGUUGCAGGAGAGACCAGGGCCAGACUAGCUGGACCUAGGGAAGGUGGACCCAGGUAGGGCAAAGAAUCUGUCAAGUCCAGAGGCUGAGCACUUUCUUUUCCUCGGUAGGGCCAGGACCUCUCACCCUGCAGGCCAGGAUGACAUGCUGGCGUGAAGACAAUGGUGGACACACCAGUGCAUCCUGGGAAUUUGGCUUCAGUGGACAACUGUGCCUCCUCUUUGAUUCGAAGAAUGGAUUCUGGACAAUGGUUCAUUCUAAAGGGAGGCGGAUGAAAGAGAAAUGGGAGAACGACAGAACUGUGACGGACUUCUUCAGGACGGUCUCCAUGGGAGACUGUUGGCUCUGGUAUCACACUUUCUUGGAGCACUUGGAGAAAAUGUUGAAGACAUCGGGUAAGUGAGAAGAGUAGGAGAGAGUGGUAGUUCUCUCAUGGUGAAAUGGACCCACCCCUCUGUGUGUAUGUGUGUGUGUGUGUGUGUGUGUGUGUGUGUGUGUGUUUGUGUGUGUGUGAAAAUGAUCCAUCAGAGGUGAGCUGUCCUGGUAGAACAAUGUCCCGGGGAUGCUCUGUCAUCCUCUUUCCUCUUCCACCUCCUGACAUCUCUCCUCACAGCACAGGCCUUUGUACAAUUGAACAUGGAUUCUCACUGAUCCUAAACAUGAGAGCAUCUCUAUGAUUCCAGUCUCCUUCUUACCAUUCCCU
rnacentral:lncRNA from 1 species